GAUGAACGCUGGCGGCGUGCUUAACACAUGCAAGUCGAACGGGAUCCAGGCAGCUUGCUGCCUGGUGAGAGUGGCGAACGGGUGAGUAAUGCGUGACCGACCUGCCCCAUACACCGGAAUAGCUCCUGGAAACGGGUGGUAAUGCCGGAUGCUCCGACUCCUCGCAUGGGGUGUCGGGAAAGAUUAUAUCGGUAUGGGAUGGGGUCGCGUCCUAUCAGGUAGUCGGCGGGGUAACGGCCCACCGAGCCUACGACGGGUAGCCGGCCUGAGAGGGCGACCGGCCACAUUGGGACUGAGAUACGGCCCAGACUCCUACGGGAGGCAGCAGUGGGGAAUAUUGCACAAUGGGCGCAAGCCUGAUGCAGCGACGCCGCGUGCGGGAUGACGGCCUUCGGGUUGUAAACCGCUUUUGAUCGGGAGCAAGCCUUCGGGUGAGU
rnacentral:rRNA from 1 species